UACGGGGGGGGCAAGCGUUGUUCGGAAUUACUGGGCGUAAAGGGCGCGUAGGCGGCCUUCUAAGUCGGACGUGAAAUCCCUCGGCUCAACCGAGGAACUGCGUCUGAUACUGGAAGGCUUGAAUCCGGGAGAGGGAUGUGGAAUUCCAGGUGUAGCGGUGAAAUGCGUAGAUAUCGGGAAGAACACCCGUGGCGAAGGCGGCUCUCUGGGCCUGACCUGACGCUGAGGAGCGAAAGCGUGGGGAGCGAACCGG
rnacentral:rRNA from 1 species